rnacentral:rRNA from 1 species
CACGUAGGGUGCGAGCGUUGUCCGGAAUUAUUGGGCGUAAAGAGCUCGUAGGCGGUCUGUCGCGUCGGAUGUGAAAACCCAGGGCUCAACCCUGGGCCUGCAUUCGAUACGGGCAGACUAGAGUUCGGUAGGGGAGAAUGGAAUUCCCGGUGUAGCGGUGAAAUGCGCAGAUAUCGGGAGGAACACCGGUGGCGAAGGCGGUUCUCUGGGCCUGACCUGACGCUGAGGAGCGAAAGCGUGGGGAGCGAACAGG